CUGGCGGUAGGCCUAACACAUGCAAGUCGAACGAGUGGCGGACGGGUGAGGAAUACAUCGGAAUCUACUCUGUCGUGGGGGAUAACGUAGGGGAACUUACGCUAAUACCGCAUACGAUUGAAUGAGCCGAUGUCGGAUUAGCUAGUUGGCGGGGUAAAGGCCCACCAAGGCGACGAUCCGUAGCUGGUCUGAGAGGAUGAUCAGCCACACUGGAACUGAGACACGGUCCAGACUCCUACGGGAGGCAGCAGUGGGGAAUAUUGGACAAUGGGCGCAAGCCUGAUCCAGCCAUACCGCGUGGGUGAAGAAGGCCUUCGGGUUGUAAAGCCCUUUUGUUGGGAAAGCGGUACCCAAAGAAUAAGCACCGGCUAACUUCGUGCCAGCAGCCGCGGUAAUACGAAGGGUGCAAGCGUUACUCGGAAUUACUGGGCGUAAAGCGUGCGUAGGUGGUCGUUUAAGUCCGUUGUGAAAGCCCUGGGCUCAACCUGGGAACUGCAGUGGAUACUGGGCGACUAGAAUGUGGUAGAGGGUAGCGGAAUUCCUGGUGUAGCAGUGAAAUGCGUAGAGAUC
rnacentral:rRNA from 1 species